rnacentral:rRNA from 1 species
GACGAACGCUGGCGGCGUGCCUAAUACAUGCACGUCGAGCGAAGCGGCGGAUGGGGUAGUCAAGCGUGGGUAACCUGCCCUUAAGUCUGGGAUACCAUUUGGAAACAGAUGUUAAUACCGGAUACUAAAGGCUGGACAUGUGUUACAUUAGCUAGUUGGUAAGGUAACGGCUUACCAAGGCUAUGAUGCAUAGCCGAGUGGAGAGACUGAUCGGCCACAUUGGGACUGAGACACGGCCCAAACGCCUACGGGAGGCAGCAGUAGAGAAUCUGCCACAAUGGACGAAAGUCUGAUAGAGCAACGCCGCGUGAGGGAAGAAGGUUUUCGGAUCGUAAAGCUCUGUUGUUGGUGAAGCGGUAAUCAACCAGAAAGUCACGGCUAACUACGUGCCAGCCGCCGCGGUAAUAC